rnacentral:rRNA from 1 species
CUACGGGCGGCAGCAGUGAGGAAUAUUGCACAAUGGGGGGAACCCUGAUGCAGCAACGCCGCGUGGAGGAUGACGCAUUUCGGUGUGUAAACUCCUUUUAUAUGUCAAGAAAAUGACGGUAGCAUAUGAAUAAGCACCGGCUAACUCCGUGCCAGCAGCCGCGGUAAUACGGAGGGUGCAAGCGUUACUCGGAAUCACUGGGCGUAAAGGACGCGUAGGCGGGUUGGAAAGUCAGGUGUGAAAUCCUACAGCUUAACUGUAGAACUGCACUUGAAACUUCUAACCUAGAGUAUGGGAGGGGGAGAUGGAAUUAGUGGUGUAGGGGUAAAAUCCGCAGAUAUCACUAGGAAUACCUAAAGCGAAGGCGAUCUCCUGGAACAUUACUGACGCUAAGGCGUGAAAGCGUGGGGAGCAAACAGGAUUAGAUACCCCGGUAGUC